UACGGAGGGUGCAAGCGUUAAUCGGAAUUACUGGGCGUAAAGCGCGCGUAGGCGGUUUUUUAAGUCGGAUGUGAAAGCCCCGGGCUCAACCUGGGAACUGCAUCCGAUACUGGAAGGCUAGAAUGCGGGAGAGGGAGGUAGAAUUCCAUGUGUAGCAGUGAAAUGCGUAGAUAUAUGGAGGAAUACCAGUGGCGAAGGCGGCCUCCUGGCUCGACAUUGACGCUGAGGUGCGAAAGCGUGGGGAGCAAACGGG
rnacentral:rRNA from 1 species